AGAGUGAACGCUGGCGGCAGGCCUAAUACAUGCAAGUCGAACGGCAGCACGGCAGAGCUUGCUCUGUGGGUGGCGAGUGGCGGACGGGUGAGGAAUACAUGGGAAUCUGCCCAGUCGUGGGGGAUAACGUAUGGAAACGUACGCUAAUACCGCAUGCGCCCUUCGGGGGAAAGCCGGGGACCUUCGGGCCUGGCGCGAUUGGAUGAGCCCAUGUCGGAUUAGCUGGUUGGCGGGGUAACGGCCCACCAAGGCGACGAUCCGUAGCUGGUCUGAGAGGAUGAUCAGCCACACUGGAACUGAGACACGGUCCAGACUCCGUACGGGAGCAGCAGUAGGGAAUAUGGACAAUGGGCGCAAGCCUGAUCCAGCCAUGCCGCGUGUGUGAAGAAGGCCGUUACGGUUAGUAAACGUCGUACUUUUGGUUACCGGAAAGAAAAGCGACGUUCGGUUAACCACCCGUGGUUCGUCCGUCGGAACGGUACCGGAAG
rnacentral:rRNA from 1 species